rnacentral:tmRNA from 1 species
GGGGCCGAUUAGGAUUCGACGCCGGUAACAAAACUUGAGGGGCAUGCCGAGCUGGUAGCAGAACUCGUAAAUUCGCUGCUGCAAACUUAUAGUUGCCAACGACGACAACUACGCUCUAGCUGCUUAAUGCGGCUAGCAAUCGCUAGGGGAUGCCUGUAAACCCGAAACGACUGUCAGAUAGAACAGGAUCGCCGCCAAGUUCGCUGUAGACGUAACGGCUAAAACUCAUACAGCUCGCUCCAAGCACCCUGCCACUCGGGCGGCGCGGAGUUAACUCAGUAGAGCUGGCUAAGCAUGUAGAACCGAUAGCGGAGAGCUGGCGGACGGGGGUUCAAAUCCCCCCGGCUCCACCA